rfam:Triticum aestivum genome assembly, contig: Triticum_aestivum_CS42_TGACv1_scaffold_158252_2DL
CAUCUACUCCCUCCGUCCGAAAUAUACUUGUCAUCAAAAUGGAUAAAAAUGGAUGUAUUUAGAACUAAAAUACAUCUAGAUACAUCCCCUUUUAUUCAUUUUGAUGACAACUAUUUCCGGACGGAGGGAGUAUAUU